rnacentral:rRNA from 1 species
UACGUAGGGUGCGAGCGUUAAUCGGAAUUACUGGGCGUAAAGCGUGCGCAGGCGGUUCGUUAUGUCCGAUGUGAAAGCCCCGAGCUCAACUUGGGAAUGGCAUUGGAAACUGGCGGGCUGGAGUGUGGCAGAGGGGGGUGGAAUUCCACGUGUAGCAGGUGAAAUGCGUAGAGAUGUGGAGGAACACCGAUGGCGAAGGCAGCCCCUGGGCCAACACUGACGCUCAGGCACGAAAGCGUGGGGAGCAAACAGG